GAUGAACGCUGGCGGCGUGCCUAAUACAUGCAAGUCGAGCGAACAGACCAGGAGCUUGCUCCUCUGACGUUAGAGGCGGAAGGGAGAGUAACACGUGGAUAACCUACCUAUAAGACUGGGAUAACUUCGGGAAACCGGAGCUAAUACCGGAUAAUAUAUUGAACCUCAUGGUUCAAUAGUGAAAGACGGUUUUGCUGUCACUUAUAGAUUGCUCCGCGCCGGAUUAGCUAGUGGGUAAGGUAACGGCUUACCAAGGCAACGAUCCAUAGCCGACCAGUGAGGAUGCGCAGCGAGACUGGGACUGGGACACGGCCCAGACUCCGACGGGAGGCAGCAGUGGGGAAUAUAGGAGCAUGGGCGAAAGACUGAUGCAGCAAUGCCGCGUGAGCGAUGAAGACCGUAGAGUUGUAAAGCUGUUGUAACCGGGAUGAGAAUGACAGUACCGGGAGAAUAAGCCCCGGCUAACUACGUG
rnacentral:rRNA from 1 species